UACGUAGGCAGCGAGCGUUGUUCGGAAUUACUGGGCGUAAAGAGUGUGUAGGCGGUGUUCCCAGUCUGUUGUGAAAUCUCCCGGCUUAACUGGGAGGGUGCGCCGAAAACUGGAGUGCUUGAGUAUGGGAGAGGCAAGCGGAAUUCCUGGUGUAGCGGUGAAAUGCGUAGAUAUCAGGAGGAACACCUGUGGUGUAGACAGCUUGCUGGACCAUCACUGACGCUGAGGCACGAAAGCGUGGGUAGCAAACAGG
rnacentral:rRNA from 1 species